CAGGCUUAACACAUGCAAGUCGAGGGGCAGCAUGGUCUUAGCUUGCUAAGGCCGAUGGCGACCGGCGCACGGGUGAGUAACACGUAUCCAACCUGCCGUCUACUCUUGGACAGCCUUCUGAAAGGAAGAUUAAUACAAGAUGGCAUCAUGAGUCCGCAUGUUCACAUGAUUAAAGGUAUUCCGGUAGACGAUGGGGAUGCGUUCCAUUAGAUAGUAGGCGGGGUAACGGCCCACCUAGUCUUCGAUGGAUAGGGGUUCUGAGAGGAAGGUCCCCCACAUUGGAACUGAGACACGGUCCAAACUCCUACGGGAGGCAGCAGUGAGGAAUAUUGGUCAAUGGGCGAGAGCCUGAACCAGCCAAGUAGCGUGAAGGAUGACUGCCCUAUGGGUUGUAAACUUCUUUUAUAAAGGAAUAAAGUCGGGUAUGCAUACCCGUUUGCAUGUACUUUAUGAAUAAGGAUCGGCUAACUCCGUGCCAGCAGCCGCGGUAAUACGGAGGAUCCGAGCGUUAUCCGGAUUUAUUGGGUUUAAAGGGAGCGUAGAUGGAUGUUUAAGUCAGUUGUGAAAGUUUGCGGCUCAACCGUAAAAUUGCAGUUGAUACUGGAUAUCUUGAGUGCAGUUGAGGCAGGCGGAAUUCGUGGUGUAGCGGUGAAAUGCUUAGAUAUCACGAAGAACUCCGAUUGCGAAGGCAGCCUGCUAAGCUGCAACUGACAUUGAGGCUCGAAAGUGUGGGUAUCAAACAGGAUUAGAUACCCUGGUAGUCCACACGGUAAACGAUGAAUACUCGCUGUUUGCGAUAUACAGCAAGCGGCCAAGCGAAAGCGUUAAGUAUUCCACCUGGGGAGUACGCCGGCAACGGUGAAACUCAAAGGAAUUGACGGGGGCCCGCACAAGCGGAGGAACAUGUGGUUUAAUUCGAUGAUACGCGAGGAACCUUACCCGGGCUUAAAUUGCAGAUGAAUUACGGUGAAAGCCGUAAGCCGCAAGGCAUCUGUGAAGGUGCUGCAUGGUUGUCGUCAGCUCGUGCCGUGAGGUGUCGGCUUAAGUGCCAUAACGAGCGCAACCCUUGUUGUCAGUUACUAACAGGUUCCGCUGAGGACUCUGACAAGACUGCCAUCGUAAGAUGUGAGGAAGGUGGGGAUGACGUCAAAUCAGCACGGCCCUUACGUCCGGGGCUACACACGUGUUACAAUGGGGGGGUACAGAGGGCCGCUACCACGCGAGUGGAUGCCAAUCCCAAAAACCUCUCUCAGUUCGGACUGGAGUCUGCAACCCGACUCCACGAAGCUGGAUUCGCUAGUAAUCGCGCAUCAGCCACGGCGCGGUGAAUACGUUCCCGGGCCUUGUACACACCGCCCGUCAAGCCAUGGGAGCCGGGGGUACCUGAAGUGCGUAACCGCGAGGAGCGCCCUAGGGUAAAACUGGUGACUGGGGCUAAG
rnacentral:rRNA from 1 species